UUUGACCUGCUCUUACCAGUCCAAUCUUCCUCUUCUUUCCUCCCCAGCUCUCUCGGACAGUUUCUGACCUGACCACCCUCAUGUACCUGAAAGAAGCAGAGCUUCAAUACUGCCACUCACAAGUCUCCCGCUAUCAGAAGGAAGCUGUCACUCAAGCUAGGGGGGCCAACAUUCUGCAGGCCAGCCUAUCAGAGCGUUAGUUUGAAUUGGAGACCCAAUCAAAGGAGUUGGCAGUCCUGCGGUUGGAGCAGCGGGAGUUGAGGGGCUUGCAGCGGCCUGGAGAGAGAAAGAGGGGCUUCUGGAGAGAUGGAUGGAUGAGAAGGAGGCGGCGGCAGAGAGGGUGUACAGGCACAAUGAGGGACAGGAAAGAUGGUGUCGUUUCACCCAUCGGCUCAACAAGCACCUCCGUAGAACGAUGCUGCGACCAGGUGAGCAGACCAACUCCUGGAUGACUGGUAGGCCUUCAAAGAACCAGUAACUGCCAUACAGAGAGACACACAAACAGACACAGAACACACAGCAGUGUCAGGCACUUGCUUGCGUCCCAACUAAUAUCAAGGUCUGCUUUGCCCAGAGGAGGAUGGUGCACACUGCCCAGGGUGGACCUUGACACAUUUUCCCAAAACUUCCUGUACUAAAACAGACCUUGAAUGUGGCUCAAAUGUUGUUUUUUUUAACAUGUUUAUCUAUUGAAAGAUAUUGAUUUGAAUCAAUGUAUCUAUAGGUAAAGCUAAUUAUAAACCAAACUGUAAUACAGUUGUGAAUUUCAGAUACUGUAUGUACAGGCUUAUUUAAGUGAGUACCUAAGACCUAACUCAAUGUUUUAUCAUUAACCGUUUUAAAAUACUAUGAGCAAUAAAGUAAACCUUCUGUCAUGUUUUUCACUUCACUUAGACACCACUCUGUCCUGUGACUGCUUCCUGUUUUUAUGUGCGACCAUCCUUUAAUGGUCACUCACUGGCCCACAAAGGAGCUUACCUAACUACACAUUUCUGCAAAGUAGGUAUAAAUGUGUCAGUGGCACUUUGAGCCCCAAAUGGUGAAGCAUGAUGCC
rnacentral:lncRNA from 1 species